rnacentral:rRNA from 1 species
GUCCACGCCGUAAACGAUGGAUGCUAGCCGUCGGCAAGCUUGCUUGUCGGUGGCGCAGCUAACGCAUUAAGCAUCCCGCCUGGGGAGUACGGCCGCAAGGUUAAAACUCAAAGGAAUUGACGGGGGCCCGCACAAGCGGUGGAGCAUGUGGUUUAAUUCGACGCAACGCGAAGAACCUUACCAGCUCUUGACAUGUCAGGUCGGUUUCCAGAGAUGGAUUCCUCCCAGCAAUGGGCCUGAACACAGGUGCUGCAUGGCUGUCGU